rnacentral:lncRNA from 1 species
UUUAUUUUUCCAGUGAUCACCAUAGAAGAUGCAAGACACUGCCAUAAAUGAUGGGUCAUCAAAUUGUUUUGAGAAGAACUCAAUUGCACUGGUUCAAGUGUACUGCUGUCUUUCCUCUGUACUGUGGUGGGGAACUUCCUUGGGGAGUUUGCUCAGGGAUCUGGUUAAGAAUAACCAGUCACCAGACUCCAGCCUGGCUGGGCAUAAUAUUAUUGCAAAGGGCUGAUGGCUGCAAAUGCUCCGGAAGAAUAUGCUAGUAUGGAAAUUGUGAAAGCUCUACCCUUGAAAUGAAACUAAUACAGUAUUUCAUGCCUUCUUGCUUUUUUAAAAAUAUAUUAUUGUCAAACUUCUUUGAUAGUCCCACAGUCCCUCCAUGCAUAGCAAAGAUUGCAGUGUAUCAAAACACUAUCAGGAUUCCAAAUGGAACUUGAAGAGAUCUUCUAUUUAACUCUGUGCACAUCACUUCAAAUCACUGAUUCCUUUCUUCAUGAUUGAAUUUAGACUGAAGGCACUGAGACAGAAGCUGUUAAAUCAUGAGGUCCUGCUUUCUACUGGAACUCCAGGAAUUACAGCACCCUAUAGAGUCUCUGCAUAAACCACAACUUAGAUGAUAAAAAAGGACCUUUUUCUGUAAAGAAAUGCAAAUUUGGUUUAUAUAUAUUCAUAUUUUCAUAACGUGUAUUUGAAGAAAUACAUUACAUGUGGUGCUCAUGUCAGCUAUUGCUCUGCCAUUUUCUAAAGACAUGAUAAGGAGGUUGCUAUGUUUUGUAAGCAUGGCUUUUUCUGUACACAUCUUAGUCUCUUCAGACAAGUGCUGGGAUAGCAUGAAGUUUUAAACCCUCUACACUUGUUGGAAAACUAGAAAACAUUUUCAUAGGUAAUAAGAUCACAAGGAAACAUUUGUGUCAUCUAAAAUGUCUGAUAAUACAAGCCCCAAAUUUUUAUUCAAUAAUUGUUCCAAACAUUGUACUUCUGUAUCUCUAUUGUCU